GACAAACGCUGGCGGCGUGCGUAAAACAUGCAAGUCGUACGGCCCGUUUCGGCGGGCAGUGGCAGACGGCUGAGUAACGCGUGGGAACCUGCCCCGGGGUGGGGGACAACCGUCCGAAAGGAUGGCUAAUACCGCAUCCGGUCGGCCGCAAGGUCGAAGAAAGCCGUAAGGCGCCCUGGGAGGGCCCGCGUCCGAUUAGCUAGUUGGUGGGGUAAUGGCCUACCAAGGCGACGAUCGGUAGCUGGUCUGAGAGGANGAUCAGCCAGACUGGGACUGGGACACGGCCCAGACUCCUACGGGAGGCAGCAGUUAGGAAUUUUGGGCAAUGGCCGCAAGGCUGACCCAGCAACGCCGCGUGGGGGACGAAGGCUCUCGGGUCGUAAACCCC
rnacentral:rRNA from 1 species